GGGCGUCAACGGGGCCGGGGCAGGAGCCUGUGCGGCUUCGGGCGCGGCGGCGGGCGGCGCCGGUUCGGCAGCCGGCUGGGGCUCU
rnacentral:tRNA from 1 species